rnacentral:rRNA from 1 species
UACGAAGGGGGCUAGCGUUGUUCGGAUUUACUGGGCGUAAAGCGCACGUAGGCGGAUCGUUAAGUCGGGGGUGAAAUCCUGGAGCUCAACUCCAGAACUGCCUUCGAUACUGGCGAUCUUGAGUCCGGAAGAGGUGAGUGGAAUUCCCAGUGUAGAGGUGAAAUUCGUAGAUAUCAGGAGGAACACCGGUGGCGAAGGCGGGUCUCUGGGCCGAUACUGACGCUGAGGAGCGAAAGCGUGGGGAGCGAACAGG